UAACACGUAAGCAACCUGCCUUAAAGUGGGGGAUAGCCCGGCGAAAGCCGGAUUAAUACCGCAUGUGGUACCUCUUCUCAUGUAGAGGAUAUUAAAGCUUGUAAUGGCGCUUUAAGAGGGGCUUGCGGCCUAUCAGCUUGUUGGUGAGGUAAAGGCUCACCAAGGCAAAGACGGGUAGCUGGUCUUAGAGGAUGAUCAGCCACACUGGAACUGAGAUACGGUCCAGACACC
rnacentral:rRNA from 1 species